GAUGAACGCUCGCGGCAGGCCUAACACAUGCAAGUCGAGGGAGAAGCCCUUUCGGGGGCAGAAACCGGCGCACGGGUGCGUAACGCGUAUGCAACCUACCUUUCACAGGGGGAUAGCCCGAAGAAAUUUGGAUUAAUACCCCAUAAUAUUAUUGGAUGGCAUCAUUUGAUAAUUAAAACUGCGGUGGUGAAAGAUGGGCAUGCGUCCUAUUAGCUAGUUGGAGUGGUAACGGCACCCCAAGGCUACGAUAGGUAGGGGUCCUGAGAGGGAGAUCCCCCACACUGGUACUGAGACAGGGACCAGACUCCUACGGGAGGCAGCAGUGAGGAAUAUUGGUCAAUGGUCGGAAGACUGAACCAGCCAUGCCGCGUGCAGGAAGAAUGCCUUAUGGGUUGUAAACUGCUUUUAGAUGGGAAGAAUAAGGCGUACGUGUACGUUGAUGACGGUACCAUAUGAAUAAGCAUCGGCUAACUCCGUG
rnacentral:rRNA from 1 species